AGGCGGUGGACUCUCUCUGAGGGUAAGGGAUAGAGAAAUCCAGGAUUAGUCAGCUUGUGAGAGGAAUCGUGAGCUCAUGUCAGGCCACACUCUGCAUAUUGUGGGUGAAUUAAAGUCUACACACUUUACUUUUUAAAGUCCGGCCCUAAGAAUGAGACAGCUGCACCUUUGCAGCCCUGAUGGCAGGAGAAGCACAUUGCCCAAUCAGGUCCCUCUGCCAAGAAUCUGGAGGCAGGGGGUGGGGAGCGAGUGUCUGCCAUCCCGGGAAGCCUGGAUGUUGGCUGAACGUGUCUCUUUACAGAGGGCAAGCACUCUUGGAAAAAAUUGGCUUCAAUGAAUCCAAGGUGCAAGUCCUGGAGUCAUGGUUGCUUCAUGAAUGUUCGAAGCCACUCUUAGCUGGAACCUCAGUUACUGGGGGUCUGGGCCAUGCUGGGGAGGACAGAUCCCCAUUACAGUCUGUAGCUAGAGCCCCUCGGAGGCAUGAACUGUCCCUUGGGGAUUACAGGCUCUGUGGACCAUCUGGAUUGGCUGCCCAUGUCUCAAGGCCUAAGCUGUUGUUUGCCAAGGCUGCUAGGGACCAGGCAUGGGUCUUCCCUCGGGGCAACUCCAGGCCAGGCCAGGAAGAUGGUCCCUAACACCCUCCUCCUUCCCAUUGGCAAACCUCCCUCUACUCCUUUCUUUUCUUUCUCUUUGGGUUUUAGACAAAAUCAUCUAUAGCCCAGGCUGACCUCUAGUUCACAGUAUAGCUGAGGAUGACUCUGGAUUUCUGAUCACCCUGCCUCUAAGCUCUGAGCAAUGGAGUUACAGGUUUGUGUCACCAUGCCCAUGUGUGUCCACAUGUUUAUGUGUGCCCCCAACAUGGGAGGGUCAGAGGACAAUCUUUGGUGGUGUUCCUCGGGUGCCAUCUACCUUUUUAUUUUUAGACAGGGUCUCUUUGCUAAACAGAACUCACCAAGUAGGCUAGUUCAGCUGACCAGUGAGGUCCAGGGACCUACCUGUUCCCCUCUGCUGGGAUUACAAGCCCUCUCAUAACAUCGGGUCUAGGGAUCAAAUCCAUAUCCCCAUACUUGGAAGGCACGUACCUCACUAAGCUAUCUCUUUAGCCUAUAUGGCAGUUUUUUGGGGUGCUAGGAAUCAACCAAGGCCUUCAUGCGUGCUAGGCAAGUACCCUGACCACUGAGCUAUACCUUUAUUAUUUCCGUUUCUCUUUUGGUACUGGAUGAACACAAGGCCUUGUGCUAAGGCCAGGCUCUGCCACUGAGCCCUACCUCAUCCUCAAGCACCAACUAAUACCCCAGCCUCCACCACUGAGCUGUACCCUAACCCCCACCCCUGAGUUAUACCCCAGCCUCUACCACUGAGCCAUUCCCCAGCACUCACUCCUGAGCUGUACCCCAGCCCCCACCACUGAGCUGUACCCUAGCCUCCAUCACUGAGCUAUACCCCAGCCCCCACCACUGAGCUAUACCCCAGCCCCCACAACUGCGCCGUACCCUAUUCUCCACCACUUAGCUAUACCCCAGAACCCCUUGAGCUUAUCCCAGCCCCCACCCCUGACCUAUAUACCCCAGCACCACUGAGCUGUACCCCAGCCCCCACCCCUGAGCCAUACUCCAGCCUCCGAGGGCUUAUUCUUGAACCUCAAAUACCCUUUAGUCAUUGCUACAUUCAUUCUGGAGCUCCUGUUUUUCUUUGUCCUAAUGUUCUCCGACUGGGUGUUGCUAGUGUAUCGUUCUGACCCUGGCCAUUUUCCUGACCUCUUCUCCCCUCUGUUAUUAGUUCUUCAGUUGAUUCUCUUGAGCUUUCUGAAUAAACAAUCCUAUCAUGUACAAAUAAUGACAGCAAUUUCUCUUCCUUUUCAAAUGUUACACUUCUUUUUCUCUUUUAAUGUAAUAAUGUAUUGGCUUAAACUUCCAGAACAAUGUAACAUAAUUAUGGUAAUAGCAGGCUUCCUUGUCCCACUGUGACUUAAAUAUGAAGGCCCCCCGAUAGUGUUUUAUUACCAAGAAUGAUGCUGAUGUUGGCUGCAGAUGUAUUUUUUUUAUUGUGUCAAGGAAAUUUUUAUUUUUAUUUUUACUGAGUUUUAGCAGAGCUGAUGUCCAGUCUACUAAAUUCAUUUACAGUGUCAGUUAGGAUGAUCAUUUAAUCUUUCCCUUUCUGUUAAUCGACGUGAUUAAUUACAUAAACCUGCUUGAUUCCUGAUAUGUCUUUCUUAUCAUGUCUGACACAAGUGUUUGUGGAGUGGAGAGGAGACUGGUUGAUCCGGGGUCAGGGUAGGGAACUCAGAUGCCCUCUAUAUUGUGCCUGACUUCCCCGGGCUACACUGUUCUCUGGUUCCAGAGUGGAAUCUCAGACAAGCCCACUGCAGUGCUCAGGAGGGCUGGAUGGGGAGAGUUAGUCCCAGAGUAAUCAGACCAGACAAUUUCCUCCAGGGGUUCUUUGCUGCAUUUAGCAGAAGACACAAGCUCUUGGUAUGUUGCCUAAGCCCUUUACAACCAACCUUUUUACCCAUAUCUUUCUUCUCAUCCCCAACUUGUACCCCUUAACUGUUCAGAACUCCUGACAGGCGGCAAAGGCUCUGGCCCUCUUACAGAGUACCUUCCCUGUUGGAAUACCGUCCCUCCCUGUUUCCUUCCUCCCAAGGGAGGACUCAGUGUCACUAUAAGGAGGGGGCUUCCCAACUAGAGGAUGUCAGACCCUGUUCCACAGGCCUCUUGCUUACCUGAGAAGGGAGGCCCCUGUGUUUCAGGAACCCCAGGGUGCUGAGGAUCACUCUAGUCCCUCACAGUCCCAGCUCUGAGCUCAGAGUCAUCUCCAGGACAAACGCUCAACCAGCCCCAAGUGGAACAUAUUGUUUCCAAUAGUGGGCACACCCUCCUUGCAUCCCCUCCACAGGGCCGUGACUGGCCAUGCUCACUGUCCCAGCUCCAACAACAGAGAAUCCUGGGAGGCCUGAAACCCUGGCACGCAGCUGCAGUUCCCUGGAGCCUCUUUAGAAAACGCAGCCGGCCUUGUUUCCUUCUCAUAAACAGCGACUGAGCACAGCAUCAGGCCCCAGGGGAGACUGUUCCCCCAAAGCUGCUGCCAUUGGAGAUGCAGGAAGGGGGGACAAGUGGGCCCAAGAGGAACCAGAUGAUUCUGGAUCAUGUCAGGAGGAGCAGGAGGGAUGCCAUUCUAGAUGUCUGGUUCAGUGAGACAGAGAUUUCAACCUGGAUCCUGGUGUGACCGCGUAAAACAACUAGUGCAUGUGGAAUACAUAGCAGGCAUGUUACAUGCUGUGCACAUGCACUCAAGGCCCCUGAUGCUGCCCUGCCAACCUAUUAUUUUCUCCACUGUGCAGAUGCUUGAAGUGGAGAUUAAAGUUUUGCUGGCUUCACAAAAUGA